GUGUGCGAUCCUUUCAGCACUUAUGCAUAGGAUUCCAUCAGAACUCCCAAGAUAAACCUGCUUGGGCAAGAAUGGUACUAAGAAGAGCUUUGUUGCAGGAC
rnacentral:rRNA from 1 species